CUCGGCCUCUUCGUCCGCCAUCUUCACACCCCGCUCCGUCGCGUACGCACCUGGGUCACGUGAUAACACAAUGCCACGUUCGGCGGGGUCACGUGCCGGGCGCGCUCGCACGCCGCCGAGCACGUACAAAGGGCCGGAAAUCACUGUCACUGGAAACACGCCAUAUAUGAAAGCUCUUGAAAAGAAAGUAGGUCAAGGAAAAAAAAAAAAGAUGAAGAAGAAGCAAUAAGCACUCCAUUAAAAAUCACAACCGAGAGGUGAAACUUGAUGCUAAAAUGAAAGAACAGGGUUAUCAAGAAUUAUAUCAACAUAUUCUUUCCCUUUGUUGCAAAUAAAGAUGAUAUUCUGAACCA